UUUAGUCUCCCUAAUUGGUAUCCAAAUGUCAGAUGUGAUCCGAAUAAAAAUUGACUUCAGCAUCUGGAAGGCAGUAACUACGAAGAACACAAGGGUUGUACGGCCUCUGGCAGGUCCAUACUUACAACCAUACUGGCAGUUUGAACGAAUCUUUGCUUGAAGAAACCACAGCUUCUGUGGCAUCCAGGGAAAUUCGGCAAUAAGACCCGUAAGGUCCUUUGCUCUAUAUUAUUUUGUUGCUGAUGUUCAAGAAAUGAUGAAUCCUGUUGCCACUGCAUAUUCAAAGGAUACCAUUCAAACCGUCUUUUAUUCGUGGGCUACGCAACUUUUGUACAGUGAAGAGGUGCCGGAAGAAGAAUCAUACUACCCAGUUUGGGGGCUGUCUGAGAUGCAACAAGCUGGCGUCAAAGCCCUCAUUUAGAUCAGAUCGUCUUGUUUUUGUUCUUGCUCUUCAUUUCAUCAGCUAUCUUUACUUUGACCGCUGCUCAACAAGCAAUG